GUUUUGAAAGAAUGGUUACGGGGAUAAGGCAGGGCUCAAGGGAAUACUUGGGAAGAGUUUAACGGCAGGCUAUUCGAGAUGGAAAUGGCACAGUUAACGGAGGGAAGGAUUUGAAACCCUUAAACACAAUUAUCUGCUCUUAGCAAAGUUGGAGACUCUUUGGACUUCCUCGCGUCGUCUCCAUCUUGCUCUGCGCGGGUUUUGAAGGGCAGUGGAGUUCCUUUUUGAAUCUCCCUUUUGAUUUCAGAACCCUCUUCAUUUCAGCCACCUGCAGAGAGAGACCAUGCCGAGACCCCGGAAGAGACCAGCCGGGGCUGCUGGCCCAGAAAAGAACGGGCAAUCAGAAAAACAUACCAAAUUUGAGAACUCAGGUGAGGCAUCAGCAAAAGUGGAGAACUCCAGCCCUCAGAAGACUUCAGUCUUUAAAAACUGUGGGAGGAAUCUAAGCAACUACUGGCUGAUGAAAUCAGAGCCAGAGAGCCGACUAGACAAAGGUGUAGAUGUGAAGUUUAGCAUUGAGGAUCUCAAAGCACAGCCCUUGCAGACAGCAUGCUGGGAUGGUGUUCGUAACUACCAGGCACGAAACUUCCUUAGAGCUAUGAAGCUGGAGGAAGAAGCCUUCUUCUACCAUAGCAACUGCAAAGAACCAGGCAUUGUAGGACUUAUGAAGAUUGUAAAGGAGGCUUACCCAGACCACACACAGUUUGAGAAAAACAGUCCCCAUUAUGACCCAUCCAGCAAAGAGGACAACCCCAAAUGGUCCAUGGUGGAUGUACAGUUUGUUCGAAUGAUGAAGCGUUUCAUCUCCCUGGCUGAGCUUAAAACCUGUCACCAAUCUCACAAGGCUACUGGUGGCCCCUUAAAAGAUAUGGCUCUCUUCACUCGCCAGAGGCUCUCAGUCCAGCCCCUGACCCAAGGUAUUUCUCACUGGUGAGGGACAGAUGACCCCAGGCACUUCCACAGGUUUCUGUCCCAGAACAUUCCUACUAGCCAGAGAAGAUGCAGAAAGGAGGUGUCUGGUGCCAGCAGUGAAAGGCCAGAGAGAAGGUGGCAUGUGGAAACCUCAGAGCACCACAUUCAAGACGCCCAAAAAGGGUAUCCAGGGCCCUGGUGGAAGCACCUCACCUGCUGCUUGAAGUAGCGCCGUUCCUCCUCAUCUAUCAGCACCAGGUUGAGAGCUGGUCCAAAAAUAGAAUAUCAGGAAGAGAAAAACUGGGCCCCAACUCUUCAAGGGGCUGGAGCAAUGACACCUGAAUCUGCUGAGAAGUGUCCCCAGGGUUGUGGGCUGCUUAAUCUGUGGCACACCUCCUUCCACAUGAAAUGGACUGUGGGAAUACUCUGGAUGAACUCUUGGAAGGAAUGAAAUAAAAUCUUGGAAAGACCAAGCAAGCACUUCAAAAUGAGAAGACACAUUGAUUGCUACAGUCAAUGAAGAAUACAAGUGAUUGCUACUCCCAAAUAAUCACAGAUUCCCAAAUAAAGAAGAAAUUCAAUUCCACUAA